rnacentral:rRNA from 1 species
GGCGGCGUGCUUAUACAUGCAAGUCGAACGGAAGAUGUAGCAAUAUAUCUUUAGUGGCGAACGGGUGAGUAACGCGUUGGUGACCUGCCCCAAAGAGAGGGAUAACAGUUCGAAAGGACUGCUAAUACCGCAUGAGUUCACAGAGAUUGGAAGGCUGUGAAGAAAGGCGAAAGCCGCUUUGGGAGGGGCCUGCGUCCCAUCAGCUAGUUGGUAGGGUAACGGCCUACCAAGGCGAUGACGGGUAGGGGACCUGAGAGGGUGGCCCCCCACAAUGGAACUGAAACACGGUCCAUACACCUACGGGUGGCAGCAGUAGGGAAUAUUGGUUAAUGGGCGAAAGCCUGAACCAGCAACGCCGCGUGUGCGAUGAAGGCCUUCGGGUUGUAAAGCACUUUUAGUAGGGACGAGGAAGGACGGUACCUACAGAAUAAGCCUCGGCUAACUACGUGCCAGCAGCCGCGGUAACACGUAGGAGGCAAGCGUUAUUCGGAUUUACUGGGCGUAAAGCGCGUGUAGGCGGUUCGGAGAGUUGGAUGUGAAAGCUCCUGGCUUAACUGGGAGAGGCCGUUCAAUACUUCCGGACUUGAGGAUGGUAGAGGAAGAUGGAAUUCCGAGUGUAUUGGUGAAAUGCGCAGAUUUUCG